rnacentral:rRNA from 1 species
AACGAACGCUGGCGGCAUGCCUAACACAUGCAAGUCGAACGAGACCUUCGGGUCUAGGUGCGCACGGGUGCGUAACGCGUGGGAACCUGCCCUUAGGUUCGGAAUAACUCCCCGAAAGGGGUGCUAAUACCGGAUAAUGUCUUCGGACCAAAGAUUUAUCGCCUUUGGAUGGGCCCGCGUUGGAUUAGCUAGUUGGUAGGGUAAAAGCCUACCAAGGCGACGAUCCAUAGCUGGUCUGAGAGGAUGACCAGCCACACUGGGACUGAGACACGGCCCAGACUCCUACGGAAGGGAGCAGUGGGGAAUAUUGGACGAUGGGCGAAAGUCUGAUCCAGCAAUGCCGCGUGAGUGAUGAAGGCCUUAGGGUUGUAAAGCUCUUUUACCCGGGAUGAUAAUGACGGUACCGGGAGAAUAAGCUCCGGCUAACUCCGUG